rnacentral:rRNA from 1 species
UGGAGAGGGGGCCUGAGAAACGGCUACCAUUUCUACGGAAGGCAGCAGGCGCGUAAAUUGCCCAAUCCUAACUCAGGGAGGCAAUUAAUAGACAUAACAAUUCCGGCCUUUUGGCUUUGGAAAGGUAAUGAGCUAAGUUUAAGUAUCUUGGCGAAAUCUAUUGGAGGGCAAGUCUGGUGCCAGCAGCCGCGGUAAUUCCAGCUCCAAUAGCGUAUGUUAAUUUUGCUGCAAUUAAAAAGCUCGUAGUUGAACUUCCGGUACACGCAAGUGUGCCUGUCUGACGCGACUAUCGAUACAGAAAUGUUUUGGUAACUCGCACAGACGUUUACUGUGAAUAAAUUAGAGUGCUUAAGACAAGCGUUUGCUUGAAUAUUUUAGCAUGGAAUAAUAAAAUACGACUUUCUUUAUUUUAUUGGUUAUUUAAGAAAGUAAUGAUUAACAGGAACAGUUGGGGGCAUUCGUACUUAAUAGUCAGAGGUGAAAUUCUUAGAUUUAUUAAAGACGAACUAAUGCGAAAGCAUUUGCCAAGGAUGUUUUCAUUAAUCAAGAACGAAAGUUAGGGGAUCAAAGACGAUUAGAUACCGUCGUAGUCCUAACCAUAAACUAUUCCGACUAGGGAUUGGUGAGGUAAUUCCUCAUCAGCACCUAAUGAGAAAUCAAAGUCUUUGGGGUUUGGGGGGAGUAUGGUCGCAAGGCUGAAACUUAAAGGAAUUGACGGAAGGGCACCACCAGGAUUGGAUUCUGCGGCUUAAUUUGAUUCAACACGGGAAAACUUACCAGGGCAAAAAACUGAAAGGAUUGACAGCUUGAUAGCACUUUCUUGAUCCGGUAGCAAGUGGUGCAUGGCCGUUCUUAGUUGGUGGAGUGAUUUGUCAGCUUAAUUGCCUUAACGAACGAGACCUUAACCUGCUAAAUAGGAGUAGCUAACAUCUAGCUAUAUCCUUCUUAGAGGGACUACGUCUGUAAAGGCGUGGAAGUUUGAGGCAAUAACAGGUCCGUGAUGCCCA